GAGAGUCUCUUGGAUCCUUUGGAACCAAGGAAUGGAACUAAUAUGCGACACGUCUGUCAACUGAAGGUUUCAUGAGUUCGCUCCUUUGUCAAGAUCUUGGCGAACAGUCUCUCACCGUGUGAUUGUAGCUCAGAAAUUAUUUUUCUUUUGGUGAUGAUCGUGCUGGGCUGGAUGCUUUUUGUAGGCUUUGCAUCCUACAUGGGUGCAUUUCCAGAGGCGAUGCCUCCAACUCUAAAGUGGAAAGAGAGGUUGCCUGUAUGGGAGAACAAGGCACGACGAAGGAGCCAGGCUUUGGAGGAGGAGCUGCUGCUACUGUGAGUGGGUGGUCAGGAACGAUGUGGAAGGGAUAUAAAUAUCCCCCAGGAGGGACCCCUUUGGAAGUAAGCAAAGAUGACCCUGGUGAAGUCAUGCAGCUGUGAAGACCACCCAACUGCACAGUUCCUGUUGUAGAUUUCACAUAAAGUAAUCGCACAUUA